ACGUAGGGGGCGAGCGUUAUUCGGAAUUACUGGGUGUAAAGGGUAUGUAGGCGGCCCUUCAAGUCGCGUGUCAAAGUCCAGUGCUCAACGCUGGGAGUGCGCGCGAUACUGACGGACUUGAGGGCAGGAGAGGAGAGUGGAAUUCCCGGUGUAGCGGUGAAAUGCGUAGAGAUCAGGAGGAACACCAGUGGCGAAGGCGACUCACUGGACUGUAUCUGACGCUGAGGUACGAAAGCGUGGGGAGCAAACAG
rnacentral:rRNA from 1 species